rnacentral:lncRNA from 1 species
CCAUAAUAAGGAGUCAAACCUAAGGAUUACAACAAGCUUUCCAACUCUUUAUCCAAGCUCGGAUUAAUGAGGAAGAUUGGUUUGGAUCCACUAAAAAAGCCCAAGAAAAUAAGCUACCCAACCAAUUAACCCAAGUGCAUAAUGGUUUUAUCAGCUUGCUUCAAGCACAUGAUGAAAAUGGGUAAGAAAAUGAAGCAAUCGGCCAAGAAAAGGGGGAAGACCAUAUCUAU